CUCGGUGGCGACGGUGCGCGCCAGCGCGGACACAUCGCGCCCGGCCGCGCACUGCUGCAGCGCCUGCAGCAGCGCGGACGACUGCCGCAGCGCAUCCGAGGAGCGCAGGUCGGUCGUGAUCUGCGCCACGAGAAGGUCCAUUUCCGCCCGGACGCCGCCGCCGCCGCAGCCGCACUCCGGCGAUCGCCGGAGAUGGGGAAGAUUGGUGGUGGUUCUCGCGCUCGCGCAGAUCUGAGGAAGAGAGAGAGCAACGAGCACGAGCGUCCCCGAGAAGAAAGAAAGGGUCGAUUCGGGCCAGUACUACUGGCAAAUGGGGCCCACUGCC
rnacentral:lncRNA from 1 species